UGCCAGCCGCCGCGGUAACACGGAGGGUGCGAGCGUUAUCCGGAUUUAUUGGGUUUAAAGGGUACGCAGGCGGUGAGGUCAGUCAGUGGUGAAAGCCAACCGCUUAACUGUUGAACUGCCCUUGAUACUGCCAGACUAGAGUUUAGUCGAGGUGGGUGGAAUUCCACAUGUAGUGGUGAAAUGCAUAGAUAUGUGGAGGAACACCGAUAACGAAGGUAACUCACUAGGCUAAUACUGACGCUGAGGUACGAGAGCGUGGGGAGCGAACGGGAUUAGAUA
rnacentral:rRNA from 1 species